rnacentral:rRNA from 1 species
UGGGGAAUAUUGCGCAAUGGGGGGAACCCUGACGCAGCCAUGCCGCGUGAAUGAAGAAGGCCUUCGGGUUGUAAAGUUCUUUCGGUAUUGAGGAAGGUUGAUGUGUUAAUAGCACAUCAAAUUGACGUUAAAUACAGAAGAAGCACCGGCUAACUCCGUGCCAGCAGCCGCGGUAAUACGGAGGGUGCGAGCGUUAAUCGGAAUAACUGGGCGUAAAGGGCACGCAGGCGGUUAUUUAAGUGAGGUGUGAAAGCCCCGGGCUUAACCUGGGAAUUGCAUUUCAGACUGGGUAACUAGAGUACUUUAGGGAGGGGUAGAAUUUCACGUGUAGCGGUGAAAUGCGUAGAGAUGUGGAGGAAUACCGAAGGCGAAGGCAGCCCCUUGGGAAUGUACUGACGCUCAUGUGCGAAAGCGUGGGGAGCAAACAGGAUUAGAUACCCUGGUAGUCCACGCUGUAAACGCUGUCGAUUUGGGGGUUGGGGUUUAACUCUGGCGCCCGUAGCUAACGUGAUAAAUCGACCGCCUGGGGAGUACGGCCGCAAGGUUA